UACAGAGGUGGCAAGCGUUGUUCGGAAUUACUGGGCGUAAAGGGCGCGUAGGCGGUUCGAUAAGUCCCGUGUGAAAUCCCUCGGCUCAACUGAGGAAGUGCACCCGAAACUGGCAGGCUUGAGUACUAAAGAGGGUCGCGGAAUUCCCGGUGUAGAGGUGAAAUUCGUAGAUAUCGGGAGGAACACCGGUGGCGAAGGCGGCGACCUGGGUAGAUACUGACGCUGAGGCGCGAAAGCUAGGGGAGCAAACGGGG
rnacentral:rRNA from 1 species